CCCUUAGAUGUCCUGGGCCGCACGCGCGCUACACUGAUGCAUGCAACGAGUUUAUAACCUUGGCCUGAAAGGUCUGGGUAAUCUUUUGAACGUGCAUCGUGAUAGGGAUAGAUUAUUGCAAUUGUUAAUCUUGAACGAGGAAUUCCUAGUAAACGCGAGUCAUCAGCUCGCAUUGAUUACGUCCCUGCCCUUUGUACACACCGCCCGUCGCACCUACCGAUUGAAUGGUUCGGUGAAGAUCUCAGACUUCGAUAUUUAUUCUUUAUUGAGUUUAUAUUGUGGGAAGUUAUCUAAACCUCAUCAUUUAGAGGAAGGUGAAGUCGUAACA
rnacentral:rRNA from 1 species